CCUACGGGUGGCUGCAGUGGGGAAUAUUGGACAAUGGGGGGAACCCUGAUCCAGCCAUGCCGCGUGUGUGAAGAAGGCCCUCGGGUUGUAAAGCACUUUCAGUGAGGAAGAACGCCUGGUGGUUAAUACCCAUCAGGAAAGACAUCACUCACAGAAGAAGCACCGGCUAACUCCGUGCCAGCAGCCGCGGUAAUACGGGAGGGUGCGAGCGUUAAUCGGAAUUACUGGGCGUAAAGCGCGCGUAGGUGGCUUGAUAAGCCGGUUGUGAAAGCCCCGGGCUCAACCUGGGAACGGCAUCCGGAACUGUCAAGCUAGAGUGCAGGAGAGGAAGGUAGAAUUCCCGGUGGAGCGGUGAAAUGCGUAGAGAUCGGGAGGAAUACCAGUGGCGAAGGCGGCCUUCUGGACUGACACUGACACUGAGGUGCGAAAGCGUGGGUAGCAAACAGGAUUAGAUACCCUUGUAGUC
rnacentral:rRNA from 1 species